GAGGGCUUUGGAGGGCUGUCCUGCAUGCCACCUUGUUCCUAACACCUGCUUGUCCUUGAAUGUGGAGCUGCCGUUGAUGACUUCAGGCAGACCUACCAAGCCAGGUUCCCUGUUUCCUGCGCACAGAGAAGGCCAUUUGGCAAUGCAAAUCAUGUCUGCCCACACCCGCUAUGGAUCCUAUAAGUUUACACAAAUCACUGAGUAAAAAUCACAUAUUGCUGUAAUUUACAAACACCACCCCGUCAUUCAUAGCUGCAGAGGGAGAUGGUGAGUGCUUGCAGAAAGCUGUCAACAGCUCUUGGACCCGCUGUGUGUGCUGCAGCUCUGGUACGGUGGCAGCCACUCAGUGCUGCUGUGGCCUCCACUGCUUCAGUGGUAGUUGGGGACCUGGUUCUGUGGUGGCUUUGAGGGUUGACCCAGUCCUGGCCAGUUUUCUAAACAUGCAUUGAUUCCUGCCCACAUCUGGAGGCCACUCCAAAAACCAGAGAUGAUUGUCAUAAUAAAACAAUAAUCACAGCUAACUCUUGCUGAGCACUUUCUAUAGCCCCAUGGCACAAAGGAAUUUACCCUAUGAAUUCUCACAACCACAAGGAUUGGGUACUUCAUCAUCCUCAUUUUCUGAAGGUGGAAACAGGCUCAGAGAGGUUAAACGACUCACUGAAAAUCAACCAGCUAGUAACUGGUGGAAACAAUCCUAAACCUAACUGUCUGAUUUAAACAUCUGGUCUGGCUCUUAGAAAGGAUGCUGCCCUGCUCCAGCCCUGCCUCCUCCUCCUGAUAUUCAUCAAAGAGAGCUUAUUCGGGGGAGCAGACAGUGUCAGUGGACUCAGAGGAUCUGGGAGAACAAACUCAGACUGGAAGAUGAGAAGCACGGCUGAGUCCCGGAGCAGACUGAGCCACUUAAGAGGGGAGGAACCACUGCAGAGAAACCGUGUCAAGCCUUUUUGAAGUUCCGGGGGGAGAACAAGAGAGCGGAGGCUCCUGGUGGCUGGUGACAGGUGCUGAUUUGUUCUGGGGAAACAGCACAGAAAAGUGACUGGAGAGGAGGCUGGGCCAGAAUGGGAUGCAGGCAAUGGGAAGGACUCUCAAGACACAGUCCUGGGCUCGCAGGCAGGACCAACCCCCAAACCUGUCCCCCCAGGAGCCUGCAGAGCCUCUGCCCUGACAGGGGACACCUCACCUCCUCUCCUUGCAGCUGCUCUUGGCUGGGAGAGCAGAGAACAGGGGACAGGAGAGAAGGCCCCAGAGUACUGAAGCUGAGGCUGGGAUAGUCUUCAUUUGCCUCUUUCCUCAGCCCUUUUCCUGUUCUCUUGUCUUUUCUCUCUUUCUCUACUUCCCUUCUCCCUAGCCCAGUCUCUCACCUUUCUUCAUCCUCUGGGCCUUUUCUUCUUCCUCUCUUGCCAUGAUUCUUCCUUCUCUGUCCCUCUUGUCUUCUCUUUUACUUCCUCUCUUCUUCUCUCCUUCCUGCAGCUAUGCCCUCUUCCCUCCUUUUUCCUGUCCCCAACCAGGGCAUUAGAAAUGCAUCCCAGUCAGCCUGAUCUGAUCACUGCAUAUUGUAUGCAUGAAUCAAAAUAUCACAUGUACCCCAGAAAUAUGUAAAUUACUGCAUAUCAAUGAAAAGAAAUCUAGCUUCUUUGCCUCACGUAGAGAAAAGCCAAUCUCAAGUAUAAAUAAACAAGCAAAUAAAACAAAC